UGGGGAAUAUUGCACAAUGGGCGAAAGCCUGAUGCAGCGACGCCGCGUGAGGGAUGACGGCCUUCGGGUUGUAAACCUCUUUCAGCAGGGAAGAAGCGAAAGUGACGGUACCUGCAGAAGAAGCGCCGGCUAACUACGUGCCAGCAGCCGCGGUAAUACGUAGGGCGCAAGCGUUGUCCGGAAUUAUUGGGCGUAAAGAGCUCGUAGGCGGUUAGUCGCGUCUGCUGUGAAAACUCGAGGCUCAACCUCGGGCUUGCAGUGGGUACGGGCUGACUAGAGUGCGGUAGGGGGUGACUGGAAUUCCUGGUGUAGCGGUGGAAUGCGCAGAUAUCAGGAGGAACACCGAUGGCGAAGGCAGGUCACUGGGCCGCAACUGACGCUGAGGAGCGAAAGCAUGGGGAGCGAACAGGAUUAGAUACCCUGGUAGUCCAUGCCGUAAACGUUGGGCACUAGGUGUGGGGUCCAUUCCACGGAUUCCGUGCCGCAGCAAACGCAUUAAGUGCCCCGCCUGGGGAGUACGGCCGCAAGGCUAAAACUCAAAGGAAUUGAC
rnacentral:rRNA from 1 species